AUUCCAGCUCCAAUAGCGUAUAUUAAAGUUGUUGCAGUUAAAAAGCUCGUAGUUGAAUUUCUGGUGGGAGUGUACAGUCCGACACUGAGUGUUGGUUCUUGUGUGUCUCCGGCCAUCCUUGGAGUGAAUCUGUCUGGCAUUUAGUUGUUGGGCAGAGUAUCUCCAUCGUUUACUGUGAGGAAAGGAAAGUGUUCAAAGCAGGCUUACGCCGUUGAAUCUUUUAGCAUGGAAUAAUAAGAUAGGAUCUUGAUACUAUUUUGUUGGUUUGCGUGUCGAGAUAAUGAUUAAAAGGGACGGCUGGGGUUCUUCGUAUUCAAUUGUCAGAGGUGAAAUUCUUGGAUUUAUGGAAGACGAACUGCUGCGAAAGCGUCGAACAAGGACGUUCUCAUUA
rnacentral:rRNA from 1 species